rnacentral:rRNA from 1 species
GAUGAACGCUGGCGGCGUGCCUAAUACAUGCAAGUCGAGCGAACGGACGAGAAGCUUGCUUCUCUGAUGUUAGCGGCGGACGGGUGAGUAACACGUGGAUAACCUACCUAUAAGACUGGGAUAACUUCGGGAAACCGUAGCUAAUACCGGAUAAUAUUUUGAACCGCAUGGUUCAAAAGUGAAAGACGGUCUUGCUGUCACUUAUAGAUGGAUCCGCGCUGCAUUAGCUAGUUGGUAAGGUAACGGCUUACCAAGGCAACGAUGCAUAGCCGACCUGAGAGGGUGAUUGGCCACACUGGAACUGAGACACGGUCCAGACUCCUACGGGAGGCAGCAGUAGGGAAUCUUCCGCAAUGGGCGAAAGCCUGACGGAGCAACGCCGCGUGAGUGAUGAAGGUCUUCGGAUCGUAAAACUCUGUUAUUAGGGAAGAACAUAUGUGUAAGUAACUGUGCACAUCUUGACGGCACCUAAUCAGAAAGCCACGGCUAACUACGUG